AUACGUAGGGGGCGAGCGUUGUCCGGAAUUAUUGGGCGUAAAGCGCGCGCAGGCGGUCCUUUAAGUCUGGUGUGAAAGCCCACGGCUCAACCGUGGAGGGGCAUUGGAAACUGGGGGACUUGGGUGGAGAAGGGGAAGGGGGAAUUCCAAGUGAAGCGGUGAAAUGCGUAGAGAUUUGGAGGAACACCAGUGGCGAAGGCGACUUUCUGGUCUGUAACUGACGCUGAGGCGCGAAAGCGUGGGGAGCAAACAGGAUUAGAUACCCUGGUAGUCCACGCCGUAAACGAUGAGUGCUAAGUGUUAGGGGGUUUCCGCCCCUUAGUGCUGCAGCUAACGCAUUAAGCACUCCGCCUGGGGAGUACGGUCGCAAGACUGAAACUCAAAGGAAUUGACGGGG
rnacentral:rRNA from 1 species